AGGACUAGAAUCUGAAUGUUUGAUCCCAUAAAAUGAUGGAAAUAUCGAUGGGUUAUAGAUGGAAGGAAUAAAAUAUUUCUUCAUCUGCCUAGGUGGUUCUCAAGAUUUUCAGCUAUUUGAUUAUCAGGUUUAACAUGGAUCAGCCGUUCAAUUUCAGAAUUGGAUUCAACUAGAUCAGGAUAAAGAGAUCUCCUACCAUGCAU
rnacentral:lncRNA from 1 species